rnacentral:snRNA from 1 species
GGCGCGAAGCUACCGUGC